GUGCCUGUGCUGGAACUGGUAGACAGGCUAGGUUGAGGGCCUAGUACUCAUUUUGAGUGUGAGCGUUCAAGUCGCUUCAGGCACACCA
rnacentral:tRNA from 1 species